rnacentral:rRNA from 1 species
CCUACGGGAGGCAGCAGUGGGGAAUAUUGGACAAUGGGCGAAAGCCUGAUCCAGCCAUGCCGCGUGUGUGAAGAAGGCCUUCGGGUUGUAAAGCACUUUCAGUGGGGAAGAAAGCCUUGGGGCUAAUACCCUCGAGGAAGGACAUCACCCACAGAAGAAGCACCGGCUAACUCCGUGCCAGCAGCCGCGGUAAUACGGAGGGUGCGAGCGUUAAUCGGAAUUACUGGGCGUAAAGCGCGCGUAGGCGGUCUGAUAAGCCGGUUGUGAAAGCCCCGGGCUCAACCUGGGAACGGCAUCCGGAACUGUCAGGCUAGAGUGCAGGAGAGGAAGGUAGAAUUCCCGGUGUAGCGGUGAAAUGCGUAGAGAUCGGGAGGAAUACCAGUGGCGAAGGCGGCCUUCUGGACUGACACUGACGCUGAGGUGCGAAAGCGCGGGUAGCAAACAGGAUUAGAUACCCUUGUAGUC